rnacentral:rRNA from 1 species
UACGAAGGGGGCUAGCGUUGUUCGGAAUUACUGGGCGUAAAGCGCGUGUAGGCGGGCCGUUAAGUCGGGGGUGAAAGCCCAGAGCUCAACUCUGGAAUUGCCUUCGAUACUGGCGGCCUGGAGCAUGAUAGAGGCGAGUGGAAAUGCGAGUGUAGAGGUGAAAUUCGUAGAUAUUCGCAGGAACACCAGUGGCGAGGGCUACUCGCUGGAUCAUUGCCGACGCUCAGACGCGAAAGCGUGGUUAGCAAACACG